GAGUUUGAUCGUGGCUCAGGAUGAACGCUGGCGGCGUGCUUAAUACAUGCAAGUCGAACGAGGAGCUAUUAUCUUCGGAUGAGAGAAUUCCUAGUGGCGAACGGGUGAGUAACGCGUUGGUGACCUGCCCAAAGAAGGGGAUAACAGUUCGAAAGAGCUGCUAAUACCCUAUGUUAUCAGUUGGAUUAGAUGCCUUCUGAUUAAAAGGAGUAAUCCGCUUUGGGAGGGACCUGCGUCCCAUCAGCUAGUUGGUAGGGUAACGGCCUACCAAGGCAAUGACGGGUAGGGGACCUGAGAGGGUGACCCCCACAAUGGCACUGAAAUACGGGCCAUACACCUACGGGUGGCAGCAGUAGGGAAUAUUGGACAAUGGGCGAAAGCCUGAUCCAGCAACGCCGCGUGCACGAUGACGGCCU
rnacentral:rRNA from 1 species